UACGUAGGGAGCAAGCGUUGUUCGGAAUUACUGGGCGUAAAGGGCGCGUAGGCGGCGCGGUAAGUCACUUGUGAAAUCUCUGAGCUUAACUCAGAACGGCCAAGUGAUACUGCAGUGCUAGAGUGCAGAAAGGGCAAUCGGAAUUCUUGGUGUAGCGGUGAAAUGCGUAGAUAUCAAGAGGAACACCUGAGGCGAGGGCGGGUUGCUAGGCUGACGCUGACGCUGAGUGCGCGAAAGCCAGGGGAGCAAACGGG
rnacentral:rRNA from 1 species